GUGAAAGUGGUGAAAAAGGUAGUAAAUUCAUCUCUAUGAUUCCUGAAUAUACCCUGAUUGAAUCAUUUAAAAUAAACCACAGAGAUUGCAAGAUGUGAAUGAGCUUUGAUCAUUUAGUAAAACUGGUUAAUUCAGUUGGCCAUUGUGGGCUAAAAAGUUAGUUAAAGGUGAUAAAAAGCUUUAUUUUAUUAAAAACAUUCCUGUUUGGUAAAAUAAUUAAUGUUUUAUAUACAUUUUUACUUAAUAAUUGUCAUUUUAAUCAAAUUUUAUUAGAAAUAAUAAGUUGAAGUCACUUUGGGUAAGCCACUUAAAGGUACGGUAGGCCUACGUGUGUGUACAAGUUAAGAUCAGGAUGACACCACCUCCGCCUCCUUUUGUGCCAGGAAAAACCCUGAAAAUAAACCUUAUGAAUGUAAAUGACAGUUUUAGGAGAUGUAAGCUGCUGCUCAUUCCCCCUGAUAUUUAACACCCUGUCUCUCUUGUCUUUGUCAGAUCGUUUGUUUGGAGUCUCUGUUUGUUCCAACCAUUGUGUUCCUUCAUGCUCCUCCAGAGACUACUAUCCGGAUUGUCCGUGCCAGUGUUGUGACUCUUGCAUCUUUCACUGUGUGAUGUUGUCCGGGGCCCGAGGAGUUCUUACAAACAGAUUGAUGGCAACAAUGUACAUGGAUGGUUCAGGGGUGAAGAAGGCCUUUAAAAAACACGGCUAUGUUGUGUUAUAAUAGGUGGCAAUUGCAUCAGAGGGAGAAGACUUCACAGUGCCUCCCUAUACAUGGAUGUCAGCUGACGUCAAUCACUUGUCUUCCGCCAUUUUGAGGACCUGAAGUGGUCGCAAAAGAACUAGAAGCUAUGCCUUCAAUAUGCUGUGAGCAUCAAAAUCGCUAUUUUAAGAACACUAAGAAGGCUCAACACAACAUGAUAUUUUGCUCGAAGUAUCGCCUGUGUCUCUACACGUGAACUCGAGCAUUGAGAACAUUGUUUGUGAACACAGAGUUAACUAAAAAGAAGGUUUUGAACAACUCACUUUGGAUGAUUUGGCGUCCGCUCGCCGCUUUCUUCCCAGUCAAGAUGUAUCGAUCUCCAAUUGCGACGUAAGGAGGGAGGAGAGUAAAGAUGAUAUCUCCUAAGGCAUAGUUCCUUAAAAAUGCACGGAUAAGUCGUUGUUUUGUUGCAAGUGAAAAACAAUAUUGACCUUCUAGUUGAAAAAGGAGCCUUAUAUGAGAUUCAUUCAUUCGCAUUCGGAAAUCGAUUAUUUACGUCUGGCAGAGAUGACGAGCGGACACCAUAACAGCCAAAGUCAGUUGUACAAAACCUUUCUUUUUAGUAAACUCUGUGUACAAAAACAAUGUUCUCAAUGCCCGCGUUCAUGUGUAGAGAUCCAGGUGAUACUUCGAGCAAAGUUUCAUGUUGUGUCGCGCCUUCUUAUGUUGUAAAAUAGUGGUAGUUCGGUAGCAGCGGACAGCGGCUGGAAGAACGCAUCAGGGAUCGAGAAGGCAUAACACCCUAACCAAGAUAUAUUUUUUUAAAGUAGCGUUUAUUUUCAUGACAGUCAAGAUGCGACAUGUUGUCUUUCGUAGCUUUUUACUGUAUCCGUAAGAAUCAUAGACAGUAAAAGAUAAGAAAUCCGUAAGUCGUAGCAAGGUAGCCAAUGCUUGUCAAUAGCCUACUGGUACUCGGUAGGUCCUCAAGAUGGCGGCAUGACGUAAAAGGUCACAUGACUGAAAUCUAUCUAUACUGCAGGGACAACCUUGCAGUCAUAUGCAAAGGAUUUGCUGAAAUUUCUUUCAUCCUGCCCCCAGCUGAAAUCGAAAAUUGAAAAAAUGAAGGCAGGAAACAAGCUGUUGCCUAUAAAAAAACAAAUUUAGGGGUUAAUUAUUUUCAAAUAAUUAAAUUGAUGUUCUUUUGUUAAAUUGUUCAUUCAUCGUUAGUUGUUUUGACAGUUUCUUGUUAUUCUUUUAAAAUUGUUAGUAUUUAAUAUGUUAUAGUUUGGAUAAAUAUUUUUGUUUUAAAUAAACUUGUUUUGG